GACGAACGCUGGCGGCGUGCCUAAUACAUGCAAGUCGAACGCUUCUUUCCUCCCGAGUGCUUGCACUCAAUUGGAAAGAGGAGUGGCGGACGGGUGAGUAACACGUGGGUAACCUACCCAUCAGAGGGGGAUAACACUUGGAAACAGGUGCUAAUACCGCAUAACAGUUUAUGCCGCAUGGCAUAAGAGUGAAAGGCGCUUUCGGGGGUCGUUGAUGGAUGGAUGCGCGGUGCAUUAGCUAGUUGGUGAGGUAACGGUUCACCAAGGCCACGAUGCAUAGCCGACCUGGGAGGGUGAUCGGCCACACUGGGACUGAGACACGGCCCAGACUCCUACGGGAGGCAGCAGUAGGGAAUCUUCGGCAAUGGACGAAAGUCUGACCGAGCAACGCCGCGUGAGUGAAGAAGGUUUUCGGAUCGUAAAACUCUGUUGUUAGAGAAGAACAAGGACGUUAGUAACUGAACGUCCCCUGACGGUAUCUAACCAGAAAGCCACGGCUAACUACGUG
rnacentral:rRNA from 1 species